AUGGGGAGGGCUGGGUGGGCAAUGGGCGUGGGCAUAGUCUGGGAUAAACAGGGAAGGUUAAGUGCACCUAGUGCCUGGUGUCUGGGAGAUCAUGAGGAAAGGCUUCACUGUUACUCUCAGGGUCAACUUGGUGUGAUGCACGCACCAACUCAGCAGCCAAGUUUAUCUGGGGUAUGUCAAUCUCCCAAGUUACAGAAACUUCCCAGAAGUAGCAACAGGACCCAGGAGCUCACAGCUCUGGGUUUUCACUUAAUCCUUGUACAGUGUUGCCUCGACUUCUCCAAGUUUCUGGUGUUUAUGAAGACCCAUAACAGCUGGCUGCAAACUCAACUCCUGAGAAUCGUUUCUGGGAGAAUGCCGAAGACUGCAUUUCAACUCCAAGAAUGGCAUUGUGCUAUGUUACAGGAAUAUAGAAACUAUCGAAGAAGAGCUUAACAGCCCUCAAAUUCUUGACUAGCUAAUUAUGCCCAAGGCCAAGUGCUUCAUGCUUGAGAAUGCAGAGACAAACAAGACAGAGUCCCAACCAUGCAGACUUCUGAUCUUACAGGAGAGUUCUGAGGAAUUCACCUCCUACACCUAACAGUUGAAGGUUAGAAGAACCAUAAAAGAUAUGCAAACAUCAAAGAAGAUCUAAAGAAGGGGAUAUGACCAUGUUAGGUUUAUUUUUAGGUUUGAAUAGAGAAGCCUACAGUAUUGUCAGCCUUUUUUCUUUAUAUAACCUCCAGUCCCCUAUGAUUUUAUUUUUAAACGCGCUUUGUUUAUAUACCACCUAUUCUGAUAACUCAAACUUUAAUUAAUUAUUUUUUCCGAGGUAAGUGAGCAAUAUAUAGUAAAUUUCGAAAACUAGUAACACAAAGGUCAAAUUUUAUUGUAACUUGAGGGAAAGAUAAGCAAAUUUCUGAUUAGUAGAAGUACACUAAUUAAAAAAACAUAUAUAUGUUUUAGCAACAGGGUCUUGCUCUGUCACCCAGGCUGGAGUGUAGUGGUGGGAUCUUAGCCACUGCAGCCUGGGCUCAAGCGAUCCUCCCACCUUGACUUCCCAAGUAGCUAGUACUAUAGACAUGUCCCACCACACCUAGUUAAAAAUAUAUAUAUUUUUUGUAGAGAUGGGAUCUUGCUAUGUUGACCAGGCUCAUCUUGAACUCGUGGCCUUAUGUGAUCCUCCCUUCUCAGCCUCCCAAACUGUUGAGAUUACAGGUGUGAACCACUAUGCCUGGCCUCAAUUUGUUUUUUCUUAUGUAGAGAGAAAUUUGAGGGAUGGCUUUGGGUGUUAGUGUGGUUAGCCACUCAUGGCUCAAUUAGACAGACUCAUUUCCAUCUGGGUCUUUCACUGCAGAUUUUAUGUAUUAACUGAAGUGCUCUUAUGAUCAUGGACAUGAAGGCUACUCAAAAAACUUCUUCCUUCAGUCUCUUUUGUUUGAGAACACAUCAAAAAACUUGAAGAUACGGUGCCAGAACUUGAAGAUACAGAGAUGAACAGUCUGUAUUUUAAAAUUCUGAAUUCUAAGCUCAUUCAAUACUGUAUUGAUUUCUUAUGAAUAAAAAAAUCAAGAAAAAUCUGUAAAUUAAGAAGUUCACAUUUUCAGUCAUUCACUGAGCACAAACUCUGCAUGACGCACUAGGUGCUGGAUAAUCAACUGAGCACAGUCUCUGCUCUUUAAGAGCUUAUAGUUUCGUGAAGGACAUUGAUAGGUAAACAGUUACUGAAAGAUGUUUUAAGUUUUAUGAUUAAGAAGCAAUAUAUUGUAGUUCCUGGGUUCAGAUCUCAGGUGUACUCCUGACAAUCUGUUUGAUCACAGGCAAGUCAUUUAUCUUCUCAGUACCUCAGUUUCUUCAACUGUAACACAAAGAUAAUAAUAGUCUCUCACUUACAAUGUCAUUGAAGGGUUUCCUGGAGAAAACAGUACUUGACACAUAUUAGGUAAUCAAUAAAUGCUACUGAAGGAAUCACAUGGACCUAAUGGAAUAUAAUAUAGAGGGCAGGGUGUUCAAACAUAGAGUUUCCCACUUUUCAGAAAGAAUCUUGCCUAAAAUUUUCUAUUGUGAUGUAAGAAUGGUUUCCCUCUUGUGUAUUAAAUUGAUCCUCUGUGACAUCUAGUCACUCACACUCCUUUUUUUUUUUUUCUUUCCCUCACUGGAUUUCUCAGUGAAUGCAAUGAGUCUAAUGUAUUUCUGAUUUUACCUAAUAGCAGGCAUCCAUGGCACUGAAAUAGCAGCUAUUUAGAAAAUUAAAUAGCCAUUGUACUAUUCAAUUUCCAUUAACAGAGUCAUUUGAGACUUUAAUAUUCCUUCAUUUAAGGAGGAAGUUGCAGGUAACAUGCUACAUUCACUUUGCAUAUUCAGCUGACAGGGAGUAUCAGUAAAGUUACGCAGUCAGCAGUUAGUUAUUAUGUUAGCUUCAAUCAUAAUUUAUUAAGCUAUGGGACAUGGUGGUGGUCACAUCCCAUAUAACUGGUUACAAUAUAUUUCUAGUAACCUAUGGAUAGAGAAGAGAACACAUAUUCAUUUAUUUUCUCGUCAUUGGGUUGCAAGUAUGUGCUAGGUCCUAUAGUAGACACUGAGGAUAAUGUAGUAAUUGGGACAUUUCACAUCUCAUCUCCUACCCUCAUAGUAAUACAAAGAGAUGUCCAGUCUUUAUUGUUUGGGGAGACAAAAUAAAUGAAAUGAUAUUAAUUUAAUACCUUCUAUGUUUACCUUACUUGUAAUUUUUCAAUUCAAUUAAAUCUGAUUCAUUUUAUUUCAG
rnacentral:lncRNA from 1 species